rnacentral:rRNA from 1 species
ACCUACGGGGCGCAGCAGUAGGGAAUCUUCCACAAUGGGCGAAAGCCUGAUGGAGCAACGCCGCGUGGGUGAAGAAGGUCUUCGGAUCGUAAAACCCUGUUGUUAGAGAGGAAAGUGCGUGAGAGUAACUGUUCACGUUUCGACGGUAUCUAACCAGAAAGCCACGGCUAACUACGUGCCAGCAGCCGCGGUAAUACGUAGGUGGCAAGCGUUAUCCGGAUUUAUUGGGCGUAAAGAGAACGCAGGCGGUCUUUUAAGUCUUAUGUGAAAGCCUUCGGCUUAACCGGAGUAGUGCAUUGGAAACU